rnacentral:rRNA from 1 species
UACGAAGGGGGCUAGCGUUGCUCGGAAUCACUGGGCGUAAAGCGCACGUAGGCGGGUCCUUAAGUCAGGGGUGAAAUCCUGGAGCUCAACUCCAGAACUGCCCUUGAUACUGAGGAUCUCGAGUUCGGGAGAGGUGAGUGGAACUGCGAGUGUAGAGGUGAAAUUCGUAGAUAUUCGCAAGAACACCAGUGGCGAAGGCGGCUCACUGGCCCGAUACUGACGCUGAGGUGCGAAAGCGGUGGGGAG